rnacentral:pre_miRNA from 1 species
UUUGUACUCCCUCCGUCCCAAAAUUCUUGUCUUAAAUUUGUCUAAAUACGGAUGUAUCUAGUUACAUUUUAGUGUUAGAUACAUCCGUAUCUAAACAAAUUUAAGACAAGAAUUUUGGGACGGAGGGAAUACUAC